rnacentral:tRNA from 1 species
GGGGAUGUGGUCUAAUGGUAAGAUUCUGGGCUCAAUUGAUUCCGAAGCGCAAGUUUCACAACGCAAGUUUCACAACGGAGCGAUGCUUCACCUUUGAGCUCAGAGACGUUGGUUCGAUCCCGGACUUCUCCA